rnacentral:rRNA from 1 species
GAUCAUUACAAGAUUGGCCUGUUUCUUUCAAGUUUUUAAAUUUGCUAGAGAGAGCGCUAAGUUUUUUAACUCACACCCUGGCAAGAUGUAUGUCUUGCUACAUGUGUUUUACCCUCUGUGAACCUUUCUACCUUUGCUUCGGCAGCGCUCCUGCAAGGGAGGUAAGGCUGCCAGAAGCCCACAACAAACCAAUUGAUUUAAUAUUUAUUGUCUGAUUAAAAUUUUUUUUGAGAAAUCAAAAAAUUGAAUUUAAAAGUUUAAAACUUUCAGCAACGGAUCUCUUGGUUCUCGCAUCGAUGAAGAACGCAGCGGAACGCGAUAGGUAAUGUGAAUUGCAGAAUUCAGUGAAUCAUCGAAUCUUUGAACGCACAUUGCGCCUUCUGGUAUUCCGGGAGGCAUGCCUGUUUGAGCGUCAGCAAAGUCUCUCAGCAAACUGCUUUUUGCGGUUUGCUGGAUUUGGGUUUUAAGAAGGAAAAGGCGUGAGGUUUACCCGCGCGCCUGCUUCUGCCCCAAACUUGCUGCACGACCGUAAGCCUUUUCAGGACACAUUGUCAAAAUGGAGUGGUGUUUGCAUUUCUUCCGUUGUCACAAAGCGUCUGGUUGUUAAGGAUUUUGCGGCGUUAAAUCUUACGUUUCCCCUCUCGGAGGGAAAACCGAUCUUUGACCUCAAAUCAGACAAGGAUACCCGCUGAACUUAAGCAUAUCAAUAAGCGGAGGAAAAGAAACCAACAGGGAUUGCCUCAGUAACGGCGAGUGAAGCGGCAAGAGCUCAGAUUUGAAAUCUGGUUUGCUAUGCAAGCCCGAGUUGUAAUCUGGAGAGAAGACUUCGGUAGCGACACCGGUCAAGAUUCCUUGGAACAGGAUGACAUAGAGGGUGAGAAUCCCGUACCUGGCUGGCCGUCAAAACCGUGUGAAGCUUCUUCGACGAGUCGAGUUGUUUGGGAAUGCAGCUCUAAAUGGGUGGUAAAUUCCAUCUAAAGCUAAAUAUCUGCGAGAGACCGAUAGCGCACAAGUAGAGUGAUCGAAAGAUGAAAAGCACUUUGAAAAGAGAGUUAAAAAGUACGUGAAAUUGUUGAAAGGGAAGCGCUUGCCAUCAGAAUUGGUACUUUUUGAUCAACUAACCUUCUGGUUUGUGCACUCUGACUGUACCGUGCCAGCACCAGUUGCGGCGGCAUGAUAAAGGCAGAGGGAAUGUGGCUCUCUUCGGGGAGUGUUAUAGCCCUCUGCGUCAUGAUGCCAGCCGCGACUGAGGACCGCGC